rnacentral:lncRNA from 1 species
AAGAAGAAGAAGAAGAAAAAAAAGAGGGACGUGCACGGAGGACUGGCCAACGGCCGCGCGACAUGCCCGUGAGCCAAAGGAACUGAUAGAAGAAGGGGGUGCAGCGCGCGAUCAGAGAAGGAAAUCUGUGCGCGGUGGCCAGGAGCCGCGCACGCAAUCGGGGUGCUGCACACGGUGUGGGAAGUGCCAAGCGCUGUGUCGAGCUUGUUCUGGCGGAGGAAGGGCGACGCCCUCUGAUCUGACCAAGCUUCUUUUCUGUUUGAAAUUCCAAUAAGAUUUGUUUGCUCCCUUAACCCAUAUAUGUGAUUAGGAGGCUUAGAACUUAAAUCUGGAAGAGAUUUAUUUUGCUAAAAUCAAAAUUAGUUUAAGAUUUAACCAAAUACCAUGUGUUCUAGCUAAAUGGGAAAUUUCCAGUGCUGUAUGUAUGAUUUCUGCACUAAAUCUAGUCUGUAGUUGAACUUAUUA